rnacentral:rRNA from 1 species
CCUACGGGGGGCAGCAGUGGGGAAUAUUGCGCAAUGGGUGAAAGCCUGACGCAGCGACGCCGCGUGAGGGAUGAAGGUCUUCGGAUCGUAAACCUCUGUCAGCAGGGAAGAACGGUCACUGUGCUAAUCAGCAGUGAAUUGACGGUACCUGCAAAGGAAGCACCGGCUAACUCCGUGCCAGCAGCCGCGGUAAUACGGAGGGUGCGAGCGUUAAUCGGAAUUACUGGGCGUAAAGCGCUCGUAGGCGGUAUGUCAAGUCAAGGGUGAAAUCCCCGCGCUCAACGUGGGAACUGCCUUUGAAACUGGCAAACUGGAGUGUGUGAGAGGAUAGUGGAAUUCCAGGUGUAGGAGUGAAAGCCGUAGAUAUCGGGAGGAACAUCAGUGGCGAAGGCGACUAUCUGGCACAUAACUGACGCUGAGGAGCGAAAGCGUGGGUAGCAAACAGGAUUAGAUACCCGAGUAGUC